AUACGGAGGGUGCAAGCGUUGUUCGGAAUUACUGGGCGUAAAGAGCACGUAGGCGGGUUCGUCAGCCAUUUGUGAAAGCCCAAGGCUCAACCUUGGAAUUGCAGGUGGAACUGCGAAUCUUGAAUACCUGAGAGGAUGAGGGAAUCCCUGGUGUAGAAGUGAAAUUCGUAGAUAUCAGGAGGAACACCCGAGGCGAAGGCGCUCGUCUGGCAGUGUAUUGACGCUGAGGUGCGAAAGCGUGGGGAGC
rnacentral:rRNA from 1 species